GUCGAACGAACUCUGGUAUUGAUUGGUGCUUGCAUCAUGAUUUACAUUUGAGUGAGUGGCGAACUGGUGAGUAACACGUGGGAAACCUGCCCAGAAGCGGGGGAUAACACCUGGAAACAGAUGCUAAUACCGCAUAACAACUUGGACCGCAUGGUCCGAGUUUGAAAGAUGGCUUCGGCUAUCACUUUUGGAUGGUCCCGCGGCGUAUUAGCUAGAUGGUGGGGUAACGGCUCACCAUGGCAAUGAUACGUAGCCGACCUGAGAGGGUAAUCGGCCACAUUGGGACUGAGACACGGCCCAAACUCCUACGGGAGGCAGCAGUAGGGAAUCUUCCACAAUGGACGAAAGUCUGAUGGAGCAACGCCGCGUGAGUGAAGAAGGGUUUCGGCUCGUAAAACUCUGUUGUUAAAGAAGAACAUAUCUGAGAGUAACUGUUCAGGUAUUGACGGUAUUUAACCAGAAAGCCACGGCUAACUACGUGCCAGCAGCCGCGGUAAUACGUAGGUGGCAAGCGUUGUCCGGAUUUAUUGGGCGUAAAGCGAGCGCAGGCGGUUUUUUAAGUCUGAUGUGAAAGCCUUCGGCUCAACCGAAGAAGUGCAUCGGAAACUGGGAAACUUGAGUGCAGAAGAGGACAGUGGAACUCCAUGUGUAGCGGUGAAAUGCGUAGAUAUAUGGAAGAACACCAGUGGCGAAGGCGGCUGUCUGGUCUGUAACUGACGCUGAGGCUCGAAAGUAUGGGUAGCAAACAGGAUUAGAUACCCUGGUAGUCCAUACCGUAAACGAUGAAUGCUAAGUGUUGGAGGGUUUCCGCCCUUCAGUGCUGCAGCUAACGCAUUAAGCAUUCCGCCUGGGGAGUACGGCCGCAAGGCUGAAACUCAAAGGAAUUGACGGGGGCCCGCACAAGCGGUGGAGCAUGUGGUUUAAUUCGAAGCUACGCGAAGAACCUUACCAGGUCUUGACAUACUAUGCAAAUCUAAGAGAUUAGACGUUCCCUUCGGGGACAUGGAUACAGGUGGUGCAUGGUUGUCGUCAGCUCGUGUCGUGAGAUGUUGGGUUAAGUCCCGCAACGAGCGCAACCCUUAUUAUCAGUUGCCAGCAUUAAGUUGGGCACUCUGGUGAGACUGCCGGUGACAAACCGGAGGAAGGUGGGGAUGACGUCAAAUCAUCAUGCCCCUUAUGACCUGGGCUACACACGUGCUACAAUGGAUGGUACAACGAGUUGCGAACUCGCGAGAGUAAGCUAAUCUCUUAAAGCCAUUCUCAGUUCGGAUUGUAGGCUGCAACUCGCCUACAUGAAGUCGGAAUCGCUAGUAAUCGCGGAUCAGCAUGCCGCGGUGAAUACGUUCCCGGGCCUUGUACACACCGCCCGUCACACCAUGAGAGUUUGUAACACCCAAAGUCGGUGG
rnacentral:rRNA from 2 species